rnacentral:rRNA from 1 species
CCUGGCUUAGGAUGAACGCUAGCGGCAGGCUUAACACAUGCAAGUCGAGGGCAUCGGAGUAGCAAUACUUGCCGGCGACCGGCGCAAGGGUGCGUAACGCGUGAGCAACAUGCCCGUAUCAGGGGGAUAAUCCAUGGAAACGUGGUCUAAUACCCCAUAGUAAUUAUGUAAGGCAUCUUAUAUAAUUUAAAGCUUUGGUGGAUACGGAUUGGCUCGCGUGACAUUAGCUGGAUGGUAAGGUAACGGCUUACCAUGGCUACGAUGUCUAGGGGUUCUGAGAGGAAGGUCCCCCACACUGGAACUGAGACACGGUCCAGACUCCUACGGGAGGCAGCAGUGAGGAAUAUUGGACAAUGGAUGGAAAUCUGAUCCAGCCAUGCCGCGUGCCAGGAAGACGGCCCUAUGGGUUGUAAACUGCUUUUGUAUGGGAGCAAUAAGGGCUACGUGUAGUCCGAUGAGAGUACCAUACGAAUAAGCACCGGCUAACUCCGUGCCAGCCGCGGC